GUUUGAUAGUACCUGAAGAGGAAGGGACGGCUAACUUCGUGCCAGCAGCCGCGGUAAUACGAAGGUCCCAAGCGUUGUUCGGAAUAACUGGGCGUAAAGCGUGUGUAGGCCGCGCGGAAAGUCGGAUGUGAAAGCCCAAGGCUUAACCUUGGAACUGCAUUCGAUACUCCCGUGCUAGAGUAAUGGAGAGGUAAGUGGAAUUCUCGGUGUAGCAGUGAAAUGCGUAGAUAUCGAGAGGAACAUCAAUGGCGAAGGCAACUUACUGGACAUUUACUGACGCUCAGACACGAAGGCUAGGGGAGCGAAAGGGAUUAGAUACCCCUGUAGUCCUAGCAGUAAACGGUGCUCGCUUGGUGUGGGGAGGUUCGACCCUCUCUGUGCCGGAGCUAACGCGUUAAGCGAGCCGCCUGGGAAGUACGGUCGCAAGACUAAAACUCAAAGAAAUUGACGGGGACCCGCACAAGCGGUGGAGUAUGUGGCUUAAUUCGAUGCAACGCGAAGAACCUUACCUAGGCUUGACAUGCUUGUCGUAUUCUCCCGAAAAGGAGAAGUCGCUUCGGGCGGACAAUGCACAGGUGCUGCAUGGCCGUCGUCAGCUCGUGUCGUGAGAUGUUUGGUUAAGUCCAGCAACGAGCGCAACCCCUGUGAACUGUUGCCAGCGGAUAAUGCCGGGGACUCUGUUCAGACUGCCCAGAUCAACUGGGAGGAAGGUGGGGACGACGUCAGGUCAGUAUGGCCCUUACGCCUAGGGCUGCACACGUACUACAAUGCCCAGCACAAUGAGAACCAAUACCGCGAGGUGGAGGAAAUCUGUAAAACUGGGCCCAGUUCGGAUUGGAGGCUGCAACUCGCCUCCAUGAAGUUGGAAUCGCUAGUAAUGCCGUAUCAGCUACGACGGCGUGAAUACGUUCCCGGGUCUUGUACACACCGCCCGUCACAUCAUGGAAGUCGGUCGCACCCGAAGUAUAUGCGCUAACUUUCGAGAAGCAGUAUCCUAAGGUGAGGCUGGUAACUGGGAUGAAGUCGUAACAAGGUAGCCGUAGGGGAACCUGCGGCUG
rnacentral:rRNA from 1 species